UGGAAAGACCCUCUUUUGUGAAGACUUUA
rnacentral:piRNA from 1 species